GAUUUUCUACCCUUUUUCAAUCUUGAAUUUCUAGAUUGAACUCUUAAAGUUAGAAGUAUCCAUCGAAUUAAUCUCGGCUUCGCCUCUUUCUUGGUAAGUAAACAUUAAAUUGUCGAAUGAUCCGUAUAGACAAUCACUUUGGUACCUACAAAAUAAGGUCGAAACUUGUCAAAAGCAAAAAAAAAAAAUAGCAAGUAACUCUUUCUCUAUUACCAUAUAAUUCAAC
rnacentral:lncRNA from 1 species